rnacentral:rRNA from 1 species
GGAUUCCCCUAGUAACGGCGAGUGAAGCGGGAAGAGCUCAAAUUUAAAAUCUGACUGUCUUUGGCUGUCCGAGUUGUAGUCUAGAGAAGUGUUUUCCGCGUUGGACCGUGUACAAGUCUCUUGGAACAGAGCGUCAUAGAGGGUGAGAAUCCCGUCUUUGACACGGACUACCAAUGCUUUGUGAUGCGCUCUCAAAGAGUCGAGUUGUUUGGGAAUGCAGCUCAAAAUGGGUGGUAAAUUCCAUCUAAAGCUAAAUAUUGGCGAGAGACCGAUAGCGAACAAGUACCGUGAGGGAAAGAUGAAAAGCACUUUGGAAAGAGAGUUAAACAGUACGUGAAAUUGCUGAAAGGGAAACGCUUGAAGUCAGUCGCGUUAGCUAGAACUCAGCCUUGCUUUGCUCGGUGCAUUUUCUAGUUGACGGGCCAGCAUCAGUUUUGAUUGCGGGAUAAAGGUCCGAGGAAUGUGGCACCUUCGGGUGUGUUAUAGCCUCGGAUUGUAUACCGUGGUUGGGACUGAGGAUCUCAGCACGCCUUUAUGGCCGGGGUUCGCCCACGUUCGUGCUUAGGAUGCUGGCGUAAUGGCUUUAAACGACCCGUCUUGAAACACGGACCAAGGAGUCUAACAUACCUGCGAGUAUUUGGGUGGUAAACCCGAGUGCGUAAUGAAAGUGAUAGUUGGGAUCUCUGUCGUGGAGAGCACCGACGCCCGGACCAGACCUUCUGUGACGGCUCCGCGGUAGAGCAUGUAUGCUGGGACCCGAAAGAUGGUGAACUAUGCCUGAAUAGGGUGAAGCCAGAGGAAACUCUGGUGGAGGCUCGUAGCGAUUCUGACGUGCAAAUCGAUCGUCAAAUUUGGGUAUAGGGGCGA